rnacentral:pre_miRNA from 1 species
UUGAACAAGAUGGAGAAGCAGGGCACGUGCAAUACUAACUCAUGAACACACAUCAAUGAUGGAAGCUUAAGUGAAUACAAAGAGAAUAUACAUUCUUUUAUGUUUCAUUUUUUAAUUGAGUUAGUUCUUCAUGUGCCCCUCUUCCCCAUCAUGACAAC